GACGAACGCUGGCGGCGUGCUUAACACAUGCAAGUCGAACGGAAAGGCCCUGCUUUUGUGGGGUGCUCGAGUGGCGAACGGGUGAGUAACACGUGAGUAACCUGCCCUUGACUUUGGGAUAACUUCAGGAAACUGGGGCUAAUAUCGGAUAGGAGCUCCUGCUGCAUGGUGGGGGUUGGAAAGUUUCGGCGGGUGGGGAUGGACUCGCGGCUUAUCAGCUUGUUGGUGGGGUAGUGGCUUACCAAGGCUUUGACGGGUAACCGGCCUGAGAGGGUGACCGGCCACAUUGGGACUGAGAUACGGCCCAGACUCCUACGGGAGGCAGCAGUGGGGAAUAUUGCACAAUGGGCGGAAGCCUGAUGCAGCAACGCCGCGUGCGGGAUGACGGCCUUCGGGUUGUAAACCGCUUUCGCCUGUGACGAAGCGUGAGUGACGGUAAUGGGUAAAGAAGCACCGGCUAACUACGUG
rnacentral:rRNA from 1 species